ensembl:lncRNA
AGUUUACUAGUAUUAUGUAUGUAUUAUGUAUAGUUUACUAGUAUUAUAUAUGUAUUACGUAUAGUUUACUAGUAUUAUGUAUGUAUUACGUGUAGUUUACUAGUGUUAUGUAUGUAUUACGUGUAGUUUACUAGUAUUAUGUAUAUAUUACGUGUAGUUUACUAGUAUUGUGUAUGUAUGUAUUACGUAUAGUUUACUAGUAUUAUGUAUGUAUGUAUUACGUAUAGUUUAAUAGUAUUACGUAUGUAUGUAUUAUGUAUGUAUGUAUGUAUAAGAUACAAGCGAUACCCUGUAAAGAACAUAACAAUAAAGCAUCAGCAGUAUUCCAGCCGUGUUCUGACUUCCUUGUGGUGGAAGAAGUGAUCAAGUGUCUUAAUCCUCAGCACCAUGAACAUACUGCUAAUGCAACUGUGUGUUCAAGGUUUUAACGUGUUGGAUCUCUGCAGGUUUUUGGGCUUGCGGCACACAACAGGAUGUAAAAACCAAAGUGCAUCUCUCCGUCCCUCCUCCCUCUCUCACUCCCUUCUCUCCCUCUCUCUCUCUCUCUCUCUCUCUCUCUCCCCCACACCGCUCAGUUAAUCUGAUUAAACCAGCAGCUGUCUGCGGUUCUGCGGCAACAAUAGCGGCUGGCUGAGCCGCCGAUUAGCGCGGUUGCAUCAUGAAUUAUGCAGCGAGGGGAAGGUGGCGCAGUGAGGAGGGGAAGGUGGCGCCGCGAGGGGAAGGUGGCGCCGCGAGGGGAAGGUGGCGCAGCGAGGGGAAGGUGGCGCCGGGGGGGAAGGUGGCGCAGCGAGGGGAAGGUGGCGCAGCGAGGGGAAGGUGGCGCAGCGAGGGGAAGGUGGCGCAGCGAGGGGAAGGUGGCGCAGUGAGGGGAAGGUGGUGCAGCGAGGCGAAGGUGGAUGAAUGGAUGGAUGAAUGGAUGGAUGAAUGGAUGAAACCUUUAAAGAAUAAAGGCCUGUUUGAUGUGGAAGACGAGGAGCCACACACACACACACACACACACACACACACACACACACACACACACACACACACACACACACACACACACACAGGUGGAGCUCCGCCUACCUCUCUUGGUGAUGAUGAUGCGGAGCAGUGGGUUUGCCGCCGACACCGCCUUGUGGAAGUUGUCGUCGUUGUUGAUGGGCAGCAGGUCGCCGUGGACGUCCGCGUAUCCCAGCAGCACGUCGGUGCCGGGGACGCGGGUGGAGGUUCUGGAGGAGGCGGUAGAACUCCUGGAAGCCGCCGGCGCCGUUCCUCCUCAGGGCGAAGCGCCGGUACUCGGCCUCGAACUGGAAGAGAGGGUGACAGCAGCCGGUGGGUCGACGAGCUACACGGGCGGCACGACGCCUCCGUCCUCCACAAACAGGACAAGGUCAAGUUUCUCCUCGUCCCGCUCCUCUGAGCACCUCCACGACCUGCGACCCCUGACCUGAGGUCAUCCCGCCAUGUUUACUUACAUCUGCUUUUAACCUGAGAUGCUGGUUAACUAGGUUCUUCUUUCGUUUCUUACUUUGUUUGACUUUUUUAUUCCCGUCACACCCAAAAAAAAAGCAACGUUCUCGAAUGUUAGACGUGUAAAUGGAGUAAAGCCAGAUGAGAGAACAUCUGUCAGUCCACGUUGUUGUUGUUGAGGAGACUUUGAGGCCGCGGCUCACAUUGACCUUUUGCCCAGUAGGUGAUCAGCUUUCCGUUCAGCGUGACGCAGCUGGUGUUGUUGUGACUGUAUAGAAGCAUUGCCACAGUUUCCUCUUGGCACACGGCCACGUGUUAGCAUACCACAGCUAGCAUAGCACGGUAACCCGCCGUCGGGUCGAAGGCCUGACUGUGGCCGUACCAGAAAACAUCGAUAACACGACAAAUAUUGUGAAAAUGUUACUCGUGGUUUGCGUUCAGUUACAUUAUGAUGAGUUAGCUGAAUGAUAACUGGGAUGCGUUCAAGUGUAACCCUGUGAAACGGGGAUAAGGAACAAAUCUCAGCCGACUGGAACACGGCAUAACCAGUCAGUAGUGCGACCUUUGACCUGUGGUCCGGGGUUAUGGGAAAGGUGCCAGCAGAAGGUGUGAUGGGUUUGUCCUCUGCAGGUGAUACGUCGGUCAUCACCUACACCUGUUCCAGCGGGUGGAGCAGAGCGGUGACACCGCGGUGCACGUUAGUGGUGUUAGAGGUGUGAUUGCAGCACGCAGGGAACAUUUUGUCUUGGGCCGUGAUCUAAUCACAACACUGGAAAUAUUCCACUCUAGUUAAACGGAUUAAUAAAAAAGGGAAAAGCUGGUUCAUGCAAUUAUGUAAAUGGCUUAACAGGAACACAAGCAAAGCAUUAUUAUUCGUACAGUGGAAGCGGGUUCAGGCUCUGAUGAAAAACAUGGUUAUGAAUCACUGGUGUCUUAUUUAUUUUGCAGGAACAACGUUGUACCGUAAGUGAGCGAGAGUUAGCCAGAGAGGCUAACGUCCAUCUGCUGCCCCCGCCAGAUGUUUGCCUGAAUUUAACAUAAUUAAAAGAGAAAAUAAAAAAAUAGUAACAUGAAGCAACAAGAAGCAACUCUGUUGCUUCAUGAAAACAACCAGAGACCCGAGAGGCACCAAGAGGAGCCGAGUCCGUUUGGAGGUCUGACGUGAGUUACGUUCCAUCAGAAAACUAUUUAUUUAUUUAUUAAUUAAUCCUCUGGUGGCAACAGCACCAACAAGCUAACAAGCUAACUCGCCGGCCAGUGGCGAGCGUCGAACAGCUGCUCGGGCAGCCGCGGGCCCUUUUCGGGGUCAAUGGUGGUCCCGGGACGCGGGUUGCUCGGCCGCGCGGUGCAGCUCUAUCUCACCUGGGCGCACACGUCACAUGAGCUGCCCGUCGCUCAGCAACACGCACGGCCUGCUUAGCGUUACCUCCCUCCUGCACAGCGUCUGCUCAUCCACCGCGGAGGACUGCAUCCAUGCAUAUUCCCACCUCUGUUUCUGUUGACAUGCAUCCAUCGGUUGAUCAUCGACAUCUCUAGUGGGUUUCAACGUAAAUGUCUUCUUUUCCAGACAGUUUGUCAUCCAGGGGACAGAUGUGCAGAGUUGUUUUAGCACACGUUUGCCACACAUGUUGGCGUGUUGGCUCGAUUACGGAGUGGGGGUCUGAGUGGGGGUCUGUGUGGGGGUCUGAGUGGGGGUCUGAGUGGGGGUCUGAGUGGGCCGCGUGUCCCAUAAUAACAUAAUUCCCUUCAAAUCCUUAAACUCUGCCCUUUGGAUUGUAAUCCUUCAAAUGUUGAAAUACUUUCAAUAGAUUAUUUCAGUUUCACAAACAGUGCUGCUGUGGUUCCUGAUGCCCACCUGGGUUCUGGUACCGAGGUCCAAUUGGAACUUAAUGUCACAUCCACCUGAACACUGUUUUCAUUGUUAGCAUGUUUUGAAUGUUACGUAUGAUCCUUAACAUGCAAAGCUGCAUCUGGCUGCACUUAGCUUCCGUAUGAAAAGUAAAACACUGAAGACUUUAACAAGUAGUAACUCCACCAGGGACCAUGUAGCCUCAACGUGUGCUGCUACAGCGAUACAGGACUGCAGCCCC